UCUGGUGGUUUUAGCGAAGGGGCAACACCUGAUCCCAUCCCGAACUCAGAAGUUAAGCCCUUCAGCGCCGAUGGUACUUGGGCAUAAGCCCCGGGAGAGUAGGCCAUCGCCAGAA
rnacentral:rRNA from 1 species